rnacentral:misc_RNA from 1 species
GACUUUUGGCAAAGGAUCACUUGGCUCUCGCAUCGAUGAAGAACGCAGCGAAAUGCGAUAAGUAAUGUGAAUUGCAGAUUUUCAGUGAAUCAUCGAAUCUUUGAACGCACCUUGCGCUCCUUGGUAUUCCGAGGAGCAUGCCUGUUUGAGUGUCAUUAAAUUCUCAACCCCGAUCGAUUUGUUUCGACUUCGGGGCUUGGAUCUGGAGCGUGCUGGCGUCGGUCGGCUCCUCUUAAAUGCAUCAGCGGAAUCUAACGUUUCGGACGUCAGUGUGAUAAUCAUGUUGCGCUGUCUGUCUGAUCCGAAAGCCCGCUCAUAAUGGUCUUCGGACAACUUUAUCAAAUUUGACCUCAAAUCAGGUAGGACUACCCGCUGAACUUAAGCAUAUCAAUAAGCGGAGGCU